GUUCUAGGGUCGCUGCUCACAUAAAUCUGUUACAUCAGGCCAUGAUUUGUGGCUAUUUUUGCUUAGGACGAGGGUUCCAUUGGGUACCUAAGGUGCCUAUGAGUGACUGAAGGUGAGAAAACACUGGGGUACACUGUGGAAAUCUGAGAUGUGGAAGAACGUCGAGCUGUCACAGAUGUCCCAGCUAGUCUACUGCACCCCAUGAUUAAAACUCUUACGUGUCUCUCAUGCAGCAUUUGAUCCAAGGCUGAAAAUUGAUCAUGAACUGAUUAGGCAAGAGAAGGAGAGGGGUGCAGACUCCAACAAAAGUCAGAUGGAGGAGGCAACAUUUUGGUUGAAGUCAGAGAGCGGCUGUGAGAUUGCCAUCCCUUGACAUCUUUUUGAAAGUGAAUUGUUUAAUCAUCUUUUUUUUUUUUUUUUUUUUUUUUUUUUUUUAGCUGAUUUCUUAGCCAUCUUGCAGAAAUAUGAGGCAGGGGCACUUAUCCAUUAGAUACAGUAGGUAAGGUACCUAAGCCCCAUGACAGACACCCUUAGCGGCCCAUGAAAAUUUCUUUCAUAAAAUGGUGCUGAAGAUAAUGAUAGUUGCAAAGGGAAAAAGAGGAUAGAUCAAUAUCAUAGUACGAUACCAAGCAUAGGGCCUAUUAUUGGAAGCUAUUUCCAAUGCUCAGGAUAUUAACAUCUUCUGGAGCGUCUGCAAAACACAUCUUGAAGGGAGAACCAUAAAGUCCUCAUUUUGGCCUGCCUCUUUUAUUUAACAAUAAAGUUUUAUUUAUUUCUGAGCACAAGAUUACGAUUUUAUUUCUAGAAAAUGGGAGAAAAUGUGGAAGAAGGAGGAGGCAGGGAAAAGGUGGAAACUUGCCCAGGCCCACAGCAGGAGCCCAACACAGGGAACACUUAAGCUUGUGUAGAGUACUUGUAACCAGAAGCCCCGAGGUGGAGCACAGCAGAGCCACUGUCGCGGCCAGAGCCCAUGCAGUGUAAACAUUAACAUUCUUGGAUGUACUAAGCACUGGGCUGCGGUCUACACUUGCACUCUGAGGUGGUGGAGUCAUUGCUAAAAUUUUGGAGUACUUGGACUUUUCUCAAGAGGCGUUGCACUUCUUGUCCCUACCGAGGAUUACCGCAGGUCGCAGCUCAGAGUCUGCGGAGGCGCGCCGUUUCAUCGUUUCAUCGACAGCGGGGACUGAACCUUCAGCCCAGGAGAAGCCAAGAUGGCACCGAUAUCGCACCCGGGGAAUCGAGGACCGGGAAGAACUUAAUGGUUAGUGCCUGGAUGGUGACAGGUGCUCCAGUGUACUCGGGCAAACUACCUUUUCCUGCGACAGCCGAUUAUCUUUGUGCAGCUUUCAGUUUGCGGCCCCUAACCUCCUCCAGCCCGCAAACCCAGGCCUCCAGUGUUCUGAUCUUUCUCUUUGCCUUUCCGCCUUUCCAGAUGCGAUUCCUUCCGUGAUCUCAGUGACUGUAUCAGGUGAAAACGAGAAGGGCAAAAUACCGUCCAAAUGUAAACAAGGAGCAGCCACACCAGCAGCAGCAGAAUGCCGCGGUAGUUCGGCAGGCCCUGGCCCCACGGACAAAGAGAAACUCGACAGUGGCAGUGGCCACGAACUCAGAAAGCCUGAGGACACUCAGCAGCUCCUCUGGCUCAUCACUUUCACAUUGGUGCAACUACAGGAGCUGAAGAACAUUUUCCAAUUCGUUCCAUAGCCGGACGUGUUAGGAUCAGAUUCAUCACUGGACUCCUGGACCUAUCACUGCAGACCUCAAACGUGCACCUUUUAAGCCCUUUCCUUCACUCCUGACUGAUGGAUUUGGGAUCCACUGCUAAGUCAGACUUUUGAACCAUUGUUCCAGGCAAACUUCUGUUAAAGCUGUUCUAGGAAGUCAGCGUGAAACAGCUUUAGGUUUCCUGCCUCCAGCCCCUAUUCUCCUGCUUCACAGGGAGUGCCUGUUGGAAAGAAGGUAAAGUUUAUAAUUGUAUUCCUAAAGAGCAAAGUAAGAGGUGAGGGAAAAAGAAAAAAAGGUUAAAAAUAAUUCUUUUAAAGAAAAUGAGGUACUUGGUUACGACUCCCCACUGUCAAAUUCUAUUCCAUUUUCAUGGCAUUUGGGCAUUGUUUUUAUUCUGGCUACUUACUGCUGAAAGUGGGAGGAGUUAUAGGGUAUCAGAAUGGAACUGAUCCAUUGGAGUUGGAAAUAUUCACAAAUACUGGGGUUCACAGACAAUGUUUGCUGGAGCAUUAUGGUGCGAGGCCAGGAAAGUCUCUUGGGAAAACCCGUCUUGCAUUUCCAUACAGAAGGUGCAACAGCAGUAAAAUCCACAGGAAAGAAAUAUGCCUAUCCCUGCAACCAGGGCCAAAGUUAUAAGGAGCUUUAGACGCCAGGACGGUUCUGACCUGAACCAGGAUGCUAACUAUUGAGCUAGCGAUAAUGUGGGGUCAGAUAUAGUUUUGAUUUGUUGGUUCAUGUUUUGCAGAGCUAACAAGACAUUUUCUGAAUUAUCUGGGAUAAUAUGUAGCAUUCAGUCUUAAUUACUUAUCAUGCCCCGUCCCCACUGUCAGUUGUAUCCAGAGUUCCUGUGGGGAUAUGAUGACAGGUGGACUCAAUACACAAAUUGAAGUUUUUUUUUUUUUUUUUUUUUUUUUAGUUUAUAUUUUCCACAUCUUUUGGUUAAGACAUACAGGAGGGGUCAUAAAUAUUUAUGAAGGCUGUCUUGACACAUGUGUAUGGAACAAAUAUGUAUGUAACCUGAGAAGGUGCCACUGCACUCCAGCCCCGGGGACAGAGUGAGACUGUCUCUGAAAUAAUAAUAAUAAUAAUAAUAAUAAUAAUAAAAUCCAAGCUAAGAACAAAUGUACAAGUAAAGAUGCAGGUAAAAAUGAAUUGUCUGAUAUCCAUUACCUCACAUGUGUCAAGCACAGUAGUAAAACAAUGAACUCAUGCAUUUAACAUUUUAGGUUUUUGCUUUUGUGAUGCCAAACAUGGACAUGCUGUAAAAAUAGUUAAUAGGGAAAUAACUUCAAAUGAUGGCUAGCCUUGUUUAAUGUUAUGUUUGCCUAAAAUAAGAAUCUAGAUCUUUUCUAAGUAAGAUAAACCACUUAAACACUAAUUACUGAACCUAAGUUUUAAGUUUAUAUGCUUUUGGGGUUUUAUUUUAUUUUAUUUUUUUAGAUGGAGUCUC